CAAUGUAUUAUUAAGUACAAAGAAUUAUUAUGCUUAUUGUUACUGUUGCAAUUAUAUAGUAAAUUGACUCUUUUAAAGCAAUUUGAAAACAUUAAAUAAUUUUCCUGUAGGAGCAGCCCCCAAGGAGGGGUGCAGUUAUGUUACUGUGCCGGAUUGUGCACACGCGUGUGAAAUUCUGCCUCAGAUAUAUUCUCCAUUUGCCUCAUCUCCUGUCUGAAACCAGGCUAAUUCCAUGAAGAGAAGAGUGAAGGAAAGGAUGUGUCCCCUGGUAUAACGGCUCUAAAGGAGACUCUCAACAUCUACAAUGGUGGUGUUUUAUAGACACAGAAACCCAAGGAACCUGUGGUAAGUGACCUGGGGAGCAGGAAAAGCAAACAGGUUUGUGGAGACCCAAGGAGAAGGAACAGGAAAUAAAGAUUUUUAUGAAAGUAUGUCA
rnacentral:lncRNA from 12 species